UGGGAAUGAGGAAUAUCUGGGAACCUUCAGAACAUUUAAAAUUUCAUUAUUUUAGAGAAGGGGGAAAGAACAUGGAGGAAAAAAAGUCUGUUUUAGAAGCGUUCAUUGAACACAGUAGUAACAGUCUGUUCAAAACCUUAAAUAGGCAAAUUGACUUGGAACAAGAAAACAAACCAUCAAACAACUUAAAUUAAGGGCUCUUAUCAGUUAAAAGAUAAGGAGCACCAAAGCCACAAGAGAAGCUGCAGUAAUAAAGGAGACUGUUGAGUGACCGAGGACAGGGGUAGUAGCAAAUGAUUCGCAGAUGGAUGUAAGCUGGAGAAGGCACUAAAGCAAAGCCAGUCAGCAGAAUUGUUACUUCAUAUGGUUAAAACUCGUUAUUGCCAGUGUGCGUGUGUGCGUGUGUGUAUAACUCACAUGGUGUGUGUGUGGAAGUCAAAGGACAACUUGUGGUGGGAGUUGGUUCUCUCCUCAGCACAGGAUCCUGGGGAUCAAACUCAGGUUGUCAGGCUUGAUGGCGGGUGCUUUGUCCUUUACCAACUGAGUGAGACAUCUUGCUGGUUGUAAAUGGAAUUCUUACAUAGGAGGGGCUCAGAAACAUCUAUUUAAUUGGGGACAGGUAUGCAAGGGGUUCUGAUGUUCCCCUUUACCUAAAAAGCACAAUUUAAGAUUUAGUUCAUAUUAUAGAUAAAUUAAAGCAGUUUUCUAAGCUUACUUUUAUUUAUGUGUCCUGUAAAAUGAAGGAAAGGUUAACUGUCCAUAAAAAAGAAGUGGAGAAAGGGAGGUGUGAAGAGAGGUGACAGAUAUCCCCUCCAGGGCUCUGGCCAUGGUAGUUCAGACAGCACCUCUCCAGGAAAUGGACAAGUGUAAGCUCUUAUCCUACACUGGAUUAAAGGCAAGUGUUUGUGCCAGGUGUGAUGCAGCCUGUAAUCCUGAAACUCCAUUGUUAGACACCUACUAUCACACACAGAACAAUCAGAUCAACAUAAUUACAGUUUGGGUUAGCAUAUGAAAAGAGACAUUUAGACAGUUGUGGUUACUUUAAAGCACCACUGGGACCUCAGGAAAACUUUCAUGUCAUGUUUUAGGAACUAAAGUGGGUUUUUAUUAAAAAUUCAGCUUGACAGGACUGACAGAUGGCUUAGAGAGUGAAGGCCUUUGCAAGCCGGGCAACCUGAGUUUGAUCACUGGGAUUCAAGUAAAGGUUAGUGACCUUCAUAGACACACCACACAUACAUACCCACAUUCAUGGUAGCAUGUACACAGAUGCUAAUAAUAAUUUAUUCUUGAGAUAGGGUCUUUCUUGGUAGUUUUUGCUUGCCUUAUCUCCUGAGUGCUGGGAUUAAAAGUGUCUUUAAAAAAAAGUCACAGAUGAACUGAGAAACUCAGGACAGAAAUGUUGACAAGCUGAUAAGAAGAUCACCACACUAACCUCCUUCUGUUUUUACACUUUUGAGACAAUUUAAGUGGAACAGAUCUGCAUAUGGAAACUUCCACCCCAGAAGUUCCCUUUGAAACUGCCAAAGCCCUCAUCUCCACUGGACAUACUACUGGCCUUCAUUGUUCUAACUAAAGGACAAUCUGCUUCUGUUGAGUUCAAUCUUUCUUAGUUUCAGGUCAUCCCAAUCUAACAAUAAUGCCUGAACUCCCAAGUCAGAUGGAUCCCUGUGAGUUACACAGCUUUCUCAUCUUGAAAAAAUAAAAACUAAAAACAAAGACCAAUCAAUCAUCCUGGACUGGCAGGUGCACAGGUCUAUAAUCCCAGCACCUGGAGGUGGUUCAAAUCAUCUGGGCUACAUGGCAAAGGCAGGUCUCAAAAACAAAAAUCAGUUUGACUUUUAAGCUUUUGAAGUGUUAAAAAAAUGUGUGUGUGUGUGUGUGUGUGUUAAUAUAUACACACAUUAAUACUUCUUUUUUUUUUUUUUUUGGUUCUUUUUUUUUUUCCAGCUGGGGACCGAACCCAGGGCCUUGUGCUUCCUAGGUAAGCGCUCUACCACUGAGCUAAAUCCCC
ensembl:lncRNA